rnacentral:rRNA from 1 species
UAAGGAAUAUUGGUCAAUGGAGGCAACUCUGAACCAGCCAUGCCGCGUGCAGGAAGAUGGCCCUCUGGGUUGUAAACUGCUUUUAUUCGGGAAUAAACCUAUCUACGUGUAGAUAGCUGAAUGUACCGAAGUAAUAAGGAUCGACUAACUCCGUGCCAGCAGCCGCGGUAAUACUGAGGAUCCAAGCGUUAUCCGGAUUUAUUUGUUUUAAAGGGUGCGUAGGCGGCCUAUUAAGUCAGGGGUGAAAGACGGUAGCUCAACUAUCGCAGUGCCCUUGAUACUGAUGGACUUGAGUGAAAUAGAGGUAAGCGGAAUGUGACAAGUAGCGGUGAAAUGCAUAGAUAUAUGAAAGAACACCGAUUGCGAAGGCAGCUUACUAUGGUUAUAUUGACGCUGAGGAAAGAAAGCGUGGGGAACAAACA